GACAGAGGAGGAGAGCGUUAUCCGGAGUUAUUGGGCGUAAAGGGUACCUAGGCUGUUGGUCAAGUCUAGGAUUAAAGACCACAGCUUAACUGUGGGGGGGCCUUGGAAACUGACCGGCUGGAGUGGGGCAGGGGUUGCGGGAAUUCCCGGUGUAGCGGUGAAAUGCGUAGAUAUCGGGAAGAACACCUGAGGCGAAAGCGCGCAACGGGGCCCUAACUGACGUUGAGGUACGAAAGCUAGGGGAGCGAAUGGG
rnacentral:rRNA from 1 species